rnacentral:tRNA from 1 species
GCGCCCGUAGUUCAAUGGAUAGAGCAUCGGCCUCCGAAGCCGAAUAUAUGGGUUCAACUCCCGUCGGGCGCG